AGUGAACGCUGGCGGUAGGCCUAACACAUGCAAGUCGAACGACAGCACAGUAAGAGCUUGCUCUUACGGGUGGCGAGUGGCGGACGGGUGAGGAAUACAUCGGAAUCUACUUUUUCGUGGGGGAUAACGUAGGGAAACUUACGCUAAUACCGCAUACGACCUACGGGUGAAAGCAUGGGAUCUUCGGACCUUGCGCGAUUGAAUGAGCCGAUGUCGGAUUAGCUAGUUGGCGGGGUAAAUGCCCACCAAGGCGCCGAUCCGUAGCUGGUCUGAGAGGAUGAUCAGCCACACUGGAACGGAGACACGGACCAGACUCCUACGGGAGGCAGCAGUGGGGAAUAGUGGACAAUGGGCGCAAGCCUGAUCCAGCCAUACCGCGUGGGUGAAGAAGGCCUUCGGGUUGUAAAGCCCUUUUGUUGGGAAAGAAAAGCAGCAGGUUAAUACCCCGCUGUUCUGACGGUACCCAAAGAAUAAGCACCGGCUAACUUCGUG
rnacentral:rRNA from 1 species